AUUGAACGCUGGCGGCAUGCUUUACACAUGCAAGUCGAACGGCAGCGCGGGCUUCGGCCUGGCGGCGAGUGGCGAACGGGUGAGUAAUACAUCGGAACGUGCCCAGCAGUGGGGGAUAGCUCGGCGAAAGCCGGAUUAAUACCGCAUACGACCUGAGGGUGAAAGCGGGGGAUCUUCGGACCUCGCGCUCUUGGAGCGGCCGAUGGCAGAUUAGCUAGUUGGUGGGGUAAAGGCCUACCAAGGCGACGAUCUGUAGCUGGUCUGAGAGGACGACCAGCCACACUGGGACUGAGACACGGCCCAGACUCCUACGGGAGGCAGCAGUGGGGAAUUUUGGACAAUGGGCGAAAGCCUGAUCCAGCAAUGCCGCGUGUGUGAUGAAGGCCUUCGGGUUGUAAAGCACUUUUGGCGGGAACGAAAAGGACUGUGCCAAUACCACGGUUCGAUGACGGUACCCGCAGAAUAAGCACCGGCUAACUACGUG
rnacentral:rRNA from 1 species